GUAUUUCAAGGGUAAUGUUUAUACAAAUGCUGGCAGCUCUGUUGAAGAGCUUUUGAUAGGUUGAUGUCACUGUGGGCUAGACUGGAAGCUCUGCAGCAAAGUAGUAGUGUCCUGAAAUGUGAGGCUGCAAGAGCUCUCCCUUUGCCUUGUCCUCGUGCUGGUUUGUAUUGGUGCAAAUGCAGCAUUUUAAAAGUCUUUGAAUGUUGGCAGUGUUCUUUUAAUUGAAGAAUCUACUCUGAAGUCCUUACAGUGGUCUGCAUAUGAGAUAGGAAUGACAUGUUGUACCUAGGUGGGAAGAAAAACAGCUGUGGUGCAGGGUAGAAUGUGACAGAGAAGGGAGGGAUGUUGCAUUUCAAUUCUUUGACAUGGGCAAAAGAAAUUGUUCAUUUUCAGAUACAUGAAAAAUAGGAUUUUAAACAAUAUUUCUUACUUUAAGUAGAAACUCUAUUUACAGCAUCCUCUUUGAACUGCUGCUUGGAUGUUUGUUUCUGGAGAAUGUGCAGUGAGUUUCCCAACUGCUUGGCAAGGGCAGGGGCCGGUUAAAAAUUAACUAGAAGCUGAGGUAAAUCACAUACAAAUAGCCCAGGGAGUGUGGUGAAUUCAUCAGUGUCUGAUGUACUUGCUUGUCUCACAGCUGCCCAAGUUCCUCUGUAAAGUGUUUUGGGUUUCUUGGCUUUGACAUGACCUGUCCAGCAGGAGAGAAUGUCAGAUGUAUUUCUUUGAGCAGCAUUUUAAUAUCUCACCUGACUCUGGUGAUGAAAAAGGGAUGAGUAAAAAAGGUCCAGGCUUCUGCUAGUCGAAGACCUGUUAAUAAAGUUUCUCCCCUUCAAUAAUGCUGGACAGCAGAAGCUUUUAAUUGUGUUACUGCUCUGAACUAGCUGCUGUUGCAGGUUAGGCUGGUUGACCUGAGUCUCUGUGGCUCAGUGUCAAGAGGACAGCAUGUGGCAGGAGAAUUUGUGAGUUCAAGUGAAUGGCACUUGCGUACUCUGGGUGCACAAUAUGAGCAUUUGCUUCCUUCUUGAAUCUGUCCUGUGGGUGAGUUUACUCACCUUUCUUACAGCAGUAUGAAAAGGGUGUGGAGAGGUGCACAAAGAACAUUUCUACUCAUCCUUUGAAUGUGUUCACGGUGCUCACAAGGAGCCUGGCACUCUCAGGGGAUGGUGGACAAGGCUUGAGACCACUGGAGCAGCCUGUGCCUGUUCUGCUGCAGCUCUGUGCAGUUCCCUUAUGAGUGCAGGAUGUUUCUCUUCCCCAAAGGGGAGUUGUUGUCACUGAAACAUGAAGCAGGGGUUGUCUGUAUUGAGUGUCAGGACAGAGCCAUCAUUCCAAGGAUAUUUUUAAUAGCAAGGCUUGAAAAUCCCCCUCACAUAAUAUUUUGCAUGCAGCAGGAUUACCUUGUAGUUGCUGUUGGCAGCCUGAUAUGGUUUGGAGAUGCUGUGUUCCCAGGCUGUUCCAGGCAGACUGGCUGUUGGAAAACUCACAAGUCUUUGUCAGUUCAGGGCCAGAAAUGGAGUCCAGCUGUUCUGCAGUUGUGAACUGCUGAGUGCAAGUUGCAGGAUUUCUUGCAUUCCUCAUCUGCACCUCCUGUAGUUUCAUGUGUAGCUGCUUCUUGCAGUGUCACAGUUCCAAUCUGUCUGCUGCAUGCUCAGGGUAUUGCCUUCUUUGGGGGGAUGUGUGUGGUUUGUUACCUGCAGACUCAGAUGCAGUUGCAGCACGUGGGAUUUCAGCUGGAGCAGCAAGUGCAGACCAUGGUCCCUAGAGACAGAAUGGGUGUCCUCUGGUGAGGGUCUCUCUUUAGGGAGAAAUCAGACUUCCAUAUCAGGGAAUGAGAAGCUCCUUACCUUCAUUAGAGCACAUGGAAGUUUGAAUUUGUCCAGAGCUGAUACCUCUGGCAAAGCUUGAAAGAAAAAUGAAGCGAGUUCCACGCAUUAGGGAUCACCUGCUCACAGCCAGCCACAGGGAGAGGUAGUCAUCAUUUGUGUUUGCUGCAAUGCCAAGCACACUCUUUGGAUGAAGUGGUACCCUGGGAGGGGAUGGCUUAAUGAAAGAUGAAGAUGAAGAGUUAUGAAGAACUUGUGUGAGAAGUUGUGGACUCUAGCUUUGUGGCCAAGCUGUAGUUGAAUCCUUAAAAUUCCCAUCUACCUCUCUAAGUGCCAGUGUAAUCUGAUCAAAGGCCAUAUGGUGAUGAAGGCAUUCCUUGAUGUACCAUGUACUUUCUCUGCCUGUUUUUUGUAUUAAUGUAAUACUUUUCCAAGCCUGUCACAUAUCUUUAUUUGGCAAGCAAGUUACUCAAAAAAAACCUGGCAGAGCAGUUCACAGUGAAUUUCAUAGUGAGUGUGCCAGGGCUGUUUGCUAAUACACAGAUGAGCUGCCAGAAUGCUGAGGUCUCCUAACCCUGCACAAAACUGCCUGAUGUACCUUGUGAGUAAUUAAACAUCACUCAGUUCUAAGAGGCAACCUUCAGUAGUAGACUUCACCCAACUAUAAUGUCUUUAAAAUCAGGAUGGAACCAGUGGCAUAUGUCAGGAGAGUGAAUUAAUUGCUCACAGGUUAAUGACCCCUCUAACUAUGCAGUUCCUGAUUCCUGUGUAAAUUGAUGUGCACCAUAGAGUUGUGGACCUUAUUACCAGUGAGCAGUUCCAGUGGCUUCAAACCCUGUCUAUUCACAAACAGCUAAAGGAAUCCCCUAAACUAUUAGCAGUAAUCAUGCAUGUUUGAGAGAGAACAUUCAACUCUGGGACAUGAAACUGAAGAGCUCCAACAACUUUUCUCCUCCAACUGAUCCAAGAAAUUGAGGUAAGAUAGCAACAUUCUUUGAGCCAGCUCAGAAAUUCAGAGAGAUGAAAGUCAGUGUCUCUCUUGGACACCCCUCUGAAUCCCCUUAAUCAAUUUCUUGCAGUUAUUUUCCUAAUUUAAAACAUAACAGGCACUGGUCACAACUUAUUUAGAUCUCUACUCAUAUUGUGCUGGAUGCCAGGAUGGUCUUUGCUAAGGAUUCUGGUGGUGUCAUCACCAGCUGAGGUGGCACACAUUACAUGAGCUCCCAAACAAGGAGCUUUGUCUUUCCAGGUGUUUGCCAAACUCAAAAUGAAUACAUCAAGAGUAUUCAGGAUGAGUCUGAAAUGAGAACAUGGGAAAUGCAUGGCAAGUAAAACCUAGGAGAAAAGUGUGACAGAGGACUAUUCCUGGCCUGAAAAGAAGUUGCAGGUUUACACCAACGCGUUGUUCAACUUCUUUUUUUUGUUUUUAAUUGAUGUGAAAAAUCUGAAGUCAUAAAACACUGUGUGACUACAGGAUGUCAGGAUAAAACAACAGAAGAACCUCAGGCCAUAUUUCCAUCCCUUUCUUGAGGGUCAUAUGGAAAGGGCAUCCUGGCUGAGGUGUGUGGCUGGAAGGAGCUGCCUGAAAAGCACCUGGAGAGCAAGAACUGGAGAAGGAUCCUCACAACAGAACCUCUGGGUCACCUCACCUUGUCUGUUCAAAAGGUGGAGAGAAAAACAACACCCAGAGUCACAGCACAACCAGCUUGGGAGGUGAUUGACCUACAGCCACAGCAGCUCCCCCAGAGCUCAAACACACUGCUGAACUCCUGUCUCAGCCUGCAGCUGUCACAAGGCUUGACAAGGCCAUGUUUUAUUGUAGCAGUGAAAUGCACUGAUGAAACAGAGGCCUGAAUUGCCCCCCUGUCACCUGAGUUAUCGCUGUCUACUUCUUGAAUUAAUCUGAAUUAAUUCAGAUUCUGGGUUCUAGGGACCAUAGGAACCAUUGUACAAAUGGCAGAAAACUCUGACAGUCUUGCAGCAAUAGGGGGUUUCAUUUUAACCAGGGAAUCUUAAUCCCAGAAAGUUGUAGUAAUAUGAUGAACCAGACUAAAAUGUGUUAAUCUGAUAUUCCUUGGCAUCUAACAGCAGUUUGUGCCACUUGAAUCAGAGUGAGGAAUGUUGGUAGCUGCUCCUUCUUGUAAAAUGGACAUCUAAUAUUGCAGAAGCUCUUAAAUUACUUGUGAGACUUUUCUUAAAGUUAGGUUGAAAACUGUCAUUCUUCCUUCUGAACAAUAAAUAUAGUGGUCUCUUCCUAUUAUAGUGAAAUGUAUUUUGAUUUUUGAAACUGGUAAUAAGAGCUGUUUCACUCUGGUAUUGUCAUCUUUUGUUUCAUUUCACUGCAAUGAAAAUUGAGACUUUCAAUCUAGAAAUGAAAACAAGAUUCCAAAUCCGUAGCAAGUAACAGUCUCUUUUACUGAUUAUUUAAAAUAAGGACAAGGUAUUUCAACUAUUCACAGAUAUUUCUGACAUAUCACAAAGUGAUAUAAGAGAAAAAGAUCACAAUCAUAUUUGAAGCAAAACAGUUUAAAAUUUAAUGUUUACAAACACAUUGCUUUUUUCCUUUUCAAAAUGUUUGCUGAUACAGUUUUGCAGGAGGCUCUCUGUUUGGUCACAUACAUUUCUGCUAUAGACACCGUGCUUUGUCCUAGGGGAUGAAUGGGAAAAAAAAUGUUCAGACUGGUACUUUGUCAGAAACAGGGAUUUGAAAUAUGAUGUCUACUGGU